AAUUGCAGAAAAUAUACCUAAGGUCACUGUACGAAACGAUUUCUUUAUUACGAUGGACCUCCCAGAAACAAUCGUGCAAGGAGAAGAAUUCCUUCUGCAAGUUACUGUAUUCAAUUAUCUUCCAAGUACGCAACAGGUCUCUGUCCAAAUUCAACAUUCGGACGACAUGGAUCAUCCUAUACCGGCUGCAUCUAUUACAAUUGUGGACUCAAUAGGCAACACAAUUGAUAGUUUAAUUCUUCUUUCG